rnacentral:lncRNA from 1 species
CUUCAAGAUAACUGGAAGGCUCCAUCUGCAGCCUGAAGCAGGCAUAACCAGUGAUCCCACCCCUCCCCCAGAUCUCACCCCAACACCCAUGGGUAGAAACCCAGACUCCUUAGAGCAUGGUAGCUGACGGCACAGCGUGAAAAGUCACCAAGUGAGGUGUAGUCUACAGUGAUCAAGGGAGGUCCUAUUUGAAUGUGAUGAUUUUAUGGAAACAUGAUAUUCCAUUUCCUAAGAUAACCAUCUGUUUUCAUAUAAAAAUGUUUCUCCAAACCAUCCAGGUGUGCAGUGUCCCCAGCCAGUGGCUUGCAAUAUCCCUAUCACAGCUCUCAUGACUAAGCUACUUCCAGCCUAUGUGAGAAGCACUACUUGAAGUGGUAACAUACUUUUGUGUGGAGACUGAACAUGGGAAAGGUAUCACCUCCCCCGACCCCACGAGGCUUUUCUGAUUUCCCUUCCCACUCAGCUGAGAACAGCAUGAUGACUGAAUGGAAGAAAAGGCAAGAGAGAGCCUAAUGAUGGAAAGGAAAAGACAAGCCACCCUGAGCCUCCUGGAGAUAGAGAUUGGACAGGCCUCCUUGGCCAGGAUGUUCCAAGUAAGAGCAGAGAAAUGGAGGCCUUGGACAAAAGAGAAGAAGCCUAAGCUGGGAAGAGAGGCACCUGGGUCGUCACUCUUUGGAGAAAGACCCCCCUCCCUCCCAAGGGAGAGCACUGGAGGAUAUGAGGAAGGAGCCAAGCCUCUGGAGCCAGGGCACUGGAACCCUAACCACCUGAAAGGAGCUUCAGGUCUGUCAGUUCCCAGAGAGUGAGUGAGGAAAUGGUUAGCACAUGACAGCGGUUGCCUAGAGAGUUAGGGAAUGAAUAACAAUGCUCUCUGGUAAAUUAGCCAUAUUACAUUGCGCACAACAAAGUGAUGGAGAGAGGCCUGUUAAAACUGGAUGAUGAUUUGUCUGCAUCCUUUACAUAAAAUGCAUUGAUUUUUCUACUCUGAUAGACUUCUUGGUUUUAGAACAUGGGCAGCUCCAGGGGCUCAGCCAAGCACCUUUUUGAGACAAUUAGGAAGUGGAGGAGCAAACAGUGAAAUCAGCAAAAACCCUCACAAACCACUUCACCUCUCUCCUCUCACCUGCGAAUAUCAGAAAAUAUUUGUUUGUACAUUCCUGAAGGUCUCCAAGUGAAAAUGCAAGACAUUAAUCAUUGUCUUUGCUAUCGCUAAACCGUGACCUCCCCAUGUUGGAGGGCAGGAAAGCGAUGCUUCGUUCUAUCCGUAUUUGUCUGCUCUGAUUCAAACAGUUCCUGUGUUUUGAAUAGCAGGGGGAGGAUGGAAAUGGAGCAGAGCUGUACUUAAAACAGCAAGCCAAGAACAAAAGCAGCAUGCGUGCAGCCAAAGGGGACCUUGGAAGAUACAUAGAUGAAACAAAACGCUAUGCCUGGCUGAGAUUCUGUUUUCAAAAGCAAAUGCAAAAUGGAUCGCGUUGUUCCAGCCGUAAAGGUUUCCGCAGUCUACCGUUCAUUUGAAAAAAAAAAAAGGGGGGGGGGGUGUCUACUGUGACAGUCAGAAGCUGCACUGCUGCUCUGAGUUAGGGAUAUUUGCUCAGAACCAAUACAGAUUUUUCCAAGGCAGUGGCGUAGCAUUUGUAGCUCCAGCAUACCCUGCCCUUGGGCAGAACACAGCCAUGCCAGUCAGCUUUCAUUGAUAUGUCUUGCCUCCUCCUCCCAUCCCCCACACCCUUCCGCUUCUUCCCGUUAGAAUCACACCAGUUUCACUUCGUCCUUUGUUUGCUUUGUUGCAUCUCCCUUCAUAGGGUCCCUAUCAAUUUAUUGAAGGUAGACUCUUUUUCUUCUUAAAGGAAGAUUCUCACCACGCAUCCCAGGCUGACCUCAAACUCAAGCUCUUCCUGCCUCAGCCUUCCAACUGCUGGGACUUGGGGCGUGUGCCACCAUGCCUAGCUAAACCUGUGGCUGCUGGGCUAUGCUGAGCAGGCAUCUUGUGGGAGAUUUGCCCUAGCUUCUGUAACCUUGGUGGUCUCAGCUGAACUCUGUACCUCACUUCUCUCCUGGGUUCCCAGUUAAGAUAGGCAGGAGGCCUUCCCUGACCCCAGUUCUCCUCCCUGCCUCACCCCCAAUCCCCAGCCCCCACCCCUGCCACUGACCUGUGAUUUAUCAGACACUAGCUUUAUACCUGCGUCUCCUGCCACUUGCUAUCAAUCAACUUUAUGCAAAUAGAAAAGGCGACCCUACCUCAACAUGCUUUGCUGCCAUCUGCCAGGAAAUUGCUACAAUAAAUAUGCAAAGGGAUAAUGACUCA